GCUGCCCCGCCGUCUACCGCGGCCGCGCCAGCAGGGGGCGCCGCUCCUCCCUCGCGGCUCUGCCCGUGGGAGGCAGGGGGCUGCCGCCCCUCCCUCGCUGCCCCGGGUGUGGGGGCUUUGCAGGGGGCCGAUGCCCCGCCCCGCCCGUGGGCGGCUGCAGGGCUGCCCCGCCCCGCCCAUUUGCAAGGCGCGGCUCCGUCUUCGGCUCCCGCAAGUCCGACAACUCUCGCAAGUCCGACAACUCCAUCGAUCGAUCGAAGAGUAUUCCCCAGGCUGACGUCUUGAUCAAGCUGUGGCGAAUUAUGGCGCAGGCUCGACCUCAGGUUCAAGCAGGAUUCAG